GAUGAACGCUAGCUACAGGCUUAACACCAUGCAAGUCGAGGGGAAACGAUAUUGGAAGCUUGCUUCUGAUAGGCGUCGACCCGGCGCACGGGUGAGUAACGCGUAUCCAACCUGCCCAUCACUUGGGGAUAACCUUGCGAAAGUAAGACUAAUACCCAAUGACGUCUCUAGAAGACAUCUGAAAGAGAUUAAAGAUUUAUCGGUGAUGGAUGGGGAUGCGUCUGAUUAGCUUGUUGGCGGGGUAACGGCCCACCAAGGCGACGAUCAGUAGGGGUUCUGAGAGGAAGGUCCCCCACAUUGGAAUUGAGACACGGUCCAAACUCCUACGGGAGGCAGCAGUGGGGAAUAUUGGGCAAUGGAGGGAACUCUGACCCAGCAACG
rnacentral:rRNA from 1 species